rnacentral:rRNA from 1 species
GAGUUUGAUCCUGGCUCAGGACGAACGCUGGCGGCGUGCCUAACACAUGCAAGUCGAACGGAGAUACGCGCUGAAUGGAUGGAGCUUGCUUUUGAAAUUCUUGUGUAUCUUAGUGGCGGACGGGUGAGUAACGCGUGAGCAACCUGCCUUUCAGAGGGGGAUAACGUUUGGAAACGAACGCUAAUACCGCAUGAGACCACAGUACUGCAUAGUACAGUGGCCAAAGGAGCAAUCCGCUGAAAGAUGGGCUCGCGUCCGAUUAGAUAGUUGGCGGGGUAACGGCCCACCAAGUCGACGAUCGGUAGCCGGACUGAGAGGUUGAACGGCUACAUUGGGACUGAGACACGGCCCAGACUCCUACGGGAGGCAGCAGUGAGGGAUAUUGGUCAAUGGGGGAAACCCUGAACCAGCAACGCCGCGUGAGGGAAGACGGUUUUCGGAUUGUAAACCUCUGUCCUCUGUGAAGAUAAUGACGGUAGCAGAGGAGGAAGCUCCGGCUAACUACGUGCAAGCAGCCGCGGUAAUACGUAGGGAGCGAGCGUUGUCCGGAUUUACUGGGUGUAAAGGGUGCGUAGGCGGCCCUGCAAGUCAGAAGUGAAAUCCAUGGGCUUAACCCGUGAACUGCUUUUGAAACUGCAGGACUUGA